rnacentral:tRNA from 1 species
GGGGCUGUAGCUCAGUGGUAGAGCACUUGCCUUGCAUGUAUGAGGCACUGGGUUCAAUCCUCAGCAUCACA